GGGGAUGUAAAGGUUUCGACAGGGAGAGCGAAGCCGGAGCAGCGGGUAGUGGUGCGGACCCACUUAAAAAGCCGCAAAAAAAUAGCUAACAACAAUAAAUUAGCAGUCGCAGCCUAAAUUUAGGCUGCUGUCCUUCCCACUUUACCGCGGGGUGGUGUUUGGGCAUUAAAUGAGCGGUGCACGUGAACGGCCCUAAGCUUUGCGGACCGUCAUGAACUCAUGAAGCUACCGACCCUGGCAGCCUGCUUACCGGCGGCCAGGCGGGGGAAUCUCAAUGAUAAGCUGCACCCGGAGAUACUCUGACAGAACUCUUUUUGGACACGGGUUCGACUCCCGUCAUCUCCACCA
rnacentral:tmRNA from 1 species